rnacentral:rRNA from 1 species
CAAGGCGCUUGAGAGAACUCGGGUGAAGGAACUAGGCAAAAUGGUGCCGUAACUUCGGGAGAAGGCACGCUGAUAUGUAGGUGAAGCGACUUGCUCGUGGAGCUGAAAUCAGUCGAAGAUACCAGCUGGCUGCAACUGUUUAUUAAAAACACAGCACUGUGCAAACACGAAAGUGGACGUAUACGGUGUGACGCCUGCCCGGUGCCGGAAGGUUAAUUGAUGGGGUUAGCGCAAGCGAAGCUCUUGAUCGAAGCCCCGGUAAACGGCGGCCGUAACUAUAACGGUCCUAAGGUAGCGAAAUUCCUUGUCGGGUAAGUUCCGACCUGCACGAAUGGCGUAAUGAUGGCCAGGCUGUCUCCACCCGAGACUCAGUGAAAUUGAACUCGCUGUGAAGAUGCAGUGUACCCGCGGCAAGACGGAAAGACCCCGUGAACCUUUACUAUAGCUUGACACUGAACAUUGAGCCUUGAUGUGUAGGAUAGGUGGGAGGCUUUGAAGUGUGGACGCCAGUCUGCAUGGAGCCGACCUUGAAAUACCACCCUUUAAUGUUUGAUGUUCUAACGUUGACCCGUAAUCCGGGUUGCGGACAGUGUCUGGUGGGUAGUUUGACUGGGGCGGUCUCCUCCUAAAGAGUAACGGAGGAGCACGAAGGUUGGCUAAUCCUGGUCGGACAUCAGGAGGUUAGUGCAAUGGCAUAAGCCAGCUUGACUGCGAGCGUGACGGCGCGAGCAGGUGCGAAAGCAGGUCAUAGUGAUCCGGUGGUUCUGAAUGGAAGGGCCAUCGCUCAACGGAUAAAAGGUACUCCGGGGAUAACAGGCUGAUACCGCCCAAGAGUUCAUAUCGACGGCGGUGUUUGGCACCUCGAUGUCGGCUCAUCACAUCCUGGGGCUGAAGUAGGUCCCAAGGGUAUGGCUGUUCGCCAUUUAAAGUGGUACGCGAGCUGGGUUUAGAACGUCGUGAGACAGUUCGGUCCCUAUCUGCCGUGGGCGCUGGAGAACUGAGGGGGGCUGCUCCUAGUACGAGAGGACCGGAGUGGACGCAUCACUGGUGUNGAUAUGUAGGUGAAGUCCCUCGCGGAUGGAGCUGAAAUCAGUCGAAGAUACCAGCUGGCUGCAACUGUUUAUUAAAAACACAGCACUGUGCAAACACGAAAGUGGACGUAUACGGUGUGACGCCUGCCCGGUGCCGGAAGGUUAAUUGAUGGGGUUAGCGCAAGCGAAGCUCUUGAUCGAAGCCCCGGUAAACGGCGGCCGUAACUAUAACGGUCCUAAGGUAGCGAAAUUCCUUGUCGGGUAAGUUCCGACCUGCACGAAUGGCGUAAUGAUGGCCAGGCUGUCUCCACCCGAGACUCAGUGAAAUUGAACUCGCUGUGAAGAUGCAGUGUACCCGCGGCAAGACGGAAAGACCCCGUGAACCUUUACUAUAGCUUGACACUGAACAUUGAGCCUUGAUGUGUAGGAUAGGUGGGAGGCUUUGAAGUGUGGACGCCAGUCUGCAUGGAGCCGACCUUGAAAUACCACCCUUUAAUGUUUGAUGUUCUAACGUGGACCCGUAAUCCGGGUUGCGGACAGUGUCUGGUGGGUAGUUUGACUGGGGCGGUCUCCUCCUAAAGAGUAACGGAGGAGCACGAAGGUUGGCUAAUCCUGGUCGGACAUCAGGAGGUUAGUGCAAUGGCAUAAGCCAGCUUGACUGCGAGCGUGACGGCGCGAGCAGGUGCGAAAGCAGGUCAUAGUGAUCCGGUGGUUCUGAAUGGAAGGGCCAUCGCUCAACGGAUAAAAGGUACUCCGGGGAUAACAGGCUGAUACCGCCCAAGAGUUCAUAUCGACGGCGGUGUUUGGCACCUCGAUGUCGGCUCAUCACAUCCUGGGGCUGAAGUAGGUCCCAAGGGUAUGGCUGUUCGCCAUUUAAAGUGGUACGCGAGCUGGGUUUAGAACGUCGUGAGACAGUUCGGUCCCUAUCUGCCGUGGGCGCUGGAGAAUUGAGGGGGGCUGCUCCUAGUACGAGAGGACCGGAGUGGACGCAUCACUGGUGUUCGGGUUGUCAUGCCAAUGGCACUGCCCGGUAGCUAAAUGCGGAAGAGAUAAGUGCUGAAAGCAUCUAAGCACGAAACUUGCCCCGAGAUGAGUUCUCCCUGACCCUUUAAGGGUCCUGAAGGAACGUUGAAGACGACGACGUUGAUAGGCCGGGUGUGUAAGCGCAGCGAUGCGUUGAGCUAACCGGUACUAAUGAACCGUGAGGCUUAACCUU